CAACCCGAUGCAAACUGCGAAUACCGGAGAAUGUUAUCACGGGAGACACACGGCGGGUGCUAACGUCCGUCGUGAAGAGGGAAACAACCCAGACCGCCAGCUAAGGUCCCAAAGUCAUGGUUAAGUGGGAAACGAUGUGGGAAGGCCCAGACAGCCAGGAUGUUGGCUUAGAAGCAGCCAUCAUUUAAAGAAAGCGUAAUAGCUCACUGGUCGAGUCGGCCUGCGCGGAAGAUGUAACGGGGCUAAACCAUGCACCGAAGCUGCGGCAGCGACACUAUGUGUUGUUGGGUAGGGGAGCGUUCUGUAAGCCUGUGAAGGUGUACUGUGAGGUAUGCUGGAGGUAUCAGAAGUGCGAAUGCUGACAUAAGUAACGAUAAAGCGGGUGAAAAGCCCGCUCGCCGGAAGACCAAGGGUUCCUGUCCAACGUUAAUCGGGGCAGGGUGAGUCGACCCCUAAGGCGAGGCCGAAAGGCGUAGUCGAUGGGAAACAGGUUAAUAUUCCUGUACUUGGUGUUACUGCGAAGGGGGGACGGAGAAGGCUAUGUUGGCCGGGCGACGGUUGUCCCGGUUUAAGCGUGUAGGCUGGU
rnacentral:rRNA from 1 species